ensembl:lncRNA
ACUGGGCCAAAAGGAAAAUAAUAUUGAAAGGAGUUGAGAGGGACAAACAGGACAUUCACUUGAACCACUACAUGCUACAGAAGUUGCAUCGAUUCCAGAAAACCAGGAAAAUGUUGAGCCAUCUAUAGACUUCAGAGCUGAACCAGGUUUCUGCCCAGUAAUCAAGAUUCCACUUCACAGAGCCAAGAGUUUGAGUACAACUCGUCAAGUACUAAGCUUUACACCACCAGCAGCAAAUUUACCCUGGCAGCAUAUGGGUGAAAACGCUGGAGGAGAAAGUCAUCGCUUUGUUAUUGGCCCUUGGACGCCCCUGGCAUCUCGUGUACAGCACAAAGUUUUCAGCUAUGAAGAUUUCCAGAGACUCCAGAAUGAAAACCAAGCUCUGAGGGAGGAGAACCAAGCCCUGAGGGAAUGCAAUGCACAAGCAGGUGCGUUACCUGAAAGGAGCAUCUGACCGUGAAGGCAGAAAAAGGCGCCGCACAGCUGAGAAGGACCCACAGCCGACCCCUUAAACCUAGGCUGACUACUGACACCCCAGCAUCACUGACAACUGGAACACUUUCUUUAUCCUGCAGUUAGUAACAUUGUACUGCUCUCCUUGUGUGUUUCAAUGUGUG